rnacentral:rRNA from 1 species
GAUGAACGCUGCGGCGUGCUUAAUACAUGCAAGUCGAACGAAGGUUGUAGCAAUACAUCCUUAGUGGCGAACGGGUGAGUAACGCGUUGGUGACCCUGCCCCGAAGUGCGGGAUAACAGUCCGAAAGGAUUGCUAAUACCGCAUGGUUUCAUUUGGAUUAGAUGCCAGAUGAGCAAAGGCGAAAGUCGCUUCGGGAGGGGCUUGCGUCCCAUCAGCUAGUUGGUAGGGUAAUGGCCUACCAAGGCAAUGACGGGUAGCCGGUCUGAGAGGAUGUCCGGCCGCAAUGGAACUGAGACACGGUCCAUACCCCUACGGGGGGCAGCAGUGGGGAAUCUUGGUCAAUGGGGGAAACCCUGAACCAGCGAUUCUGCGUGAAGGAUGAAGCCUCGCGGGGUGUAAACUUCUUUUUUGGGGGAAGACGAAUGACGGUACCCCACGAAUAGGGGACGGCUAACUACGUG